rnacentral:rRNA from 1 species
AUUGAACGCUAGCGGGAUGCCUUACACAUGCAAGUCGAACGGAGUGGCGAACGGGUGAGUAAUGUAUCGGAACGUGCCCAGUAGCGGGGGAUAACUACGCGAAAGCGUAGCUAAUACCGCAUACUAUUGGAGCGGCCGAAAGCGGAUUAGAUAGAUGUGGGGGUAACGGCAAACCAAGGCGACGACCCGUAGCUGGUUUGAGAGGACGACCAGCAACACUGGGACUGAGACACGGCCCAGACUCCUACGGGAGGCAGCAGUGGGGAAUUUUGGGCAAUGGGGGAAACCCUGAUCCAGCCAUCCCGCGUGUGCGAUGAAGGCCUUCGGGUUGUAAAGCACUUUCGGCAGGAAAGCGGUACCUGCAGAAUAAGCACCGGCUAACUACGUGCCAGCAGCCGCGGUAAUUC